ensembl:misc_RNA Y_RNA Y RNA
GGCUGGUCCGAUGGUAGUGGGUUAUCAGAACUUAUUAACAUUUAGGUCACAAAAGUUGGCAUACAACCUCCCACUGCUAAAUUUGACUGACUAAAA